AUUCCCGGGGGUGUGUACCCGAUGCGCUCUUGCCGUGCCCGCUACGCUUGCACUCGUGCGCUGUUCCACUGAACCGCGCAAAGCCGACAGCCGUCGCACUCCAGGGAGCAUUUCCAUG
rnacentral:sRNA from 1 species